CUACUUUGGGGCUAUUAUGAGUAAAACUGCUAGAAAUUGGAAUGACACCAGGAAGAUCAGCGUGGCCCCUGCACACGAAUGACGUGUAAAAUUUGUUAAGCAGUCUAGGUUGUU
rnacentral:snRNA from 1 species